rnacentral:tRNA from 1 species
GCCAGCGUAACUCAGUGGACAGAGUUUCAGACUUCUAAUCUGAGAGCCGCAGGUUCGAGUCCUGCCGCUGGUU